UACGUAGGGUGCGAGCGUUGUCCGGAUUCACUGGGUGUAAAGGGAGCGCAGGCGGAUUGGCAAGUCAUUGGUGAAAUUCUCAGGCUCAACUUGGGGACGUCCAAUGAUACUGCUGGUCUUGAGUGCGGGAGAGGAAGACGGAAUUCCUGGUGUAGCGGUGAAAUGCGUAGAUAUCAGGAAGAACACCGGUGGCGAAGGCGGUCUUCUGGCCCGUUACUGACGCUCAUGCUCGAAAGCGUGGGGAGCAAAC
rnacentral:rRNA from 1 species